rnacentral:rRNA from 1 species
AUGGCAGAGCUGCUGCGGGAGAACAAACGUAUGCUAGAUAAGUCCAUCAGGGAGAUCGAGAGGGAGAGGCAGGGCCUGCAGACUCAGGAGAAGAAGCUCAUCGCUGAGAUCAAGAAGGUGGCCAAGCAAGGACAGAUGGGAGCUGUAAAAGUUAUGGCCAAGGACCUUAUUCGCACAAGGCAUCAGAUCACGAAAUUUUAUGCCCUGAAGUCCCAGUUGCAAGGUGUAUCUCUUCGUAUUCAGACCCUGAAAUCAACACAAGCAAUGGGAGAAGCCAUGAAGGGCGUCACAAAAGCCAUGUCACAGAUGAACAGGCAGAUGAAUCUACCAGCACUCCAGAAGAUAAUGCGGGACUUUGAGAUGCAAAAUGAGAAGAUGGAAAUGGUCAGCGAGGUUAUGGGUGAUGCCAUCGACGAUGCCUUGGAGGGUGAUGAGGAGGAGGAAGAAACAGAAGAGCUAGUUAGCCAGGUCCUCGAUGAAAUCGGCAUCGACAUCAACUCUGAGCUUGUCAAGGCCCCGGCUACCGCAGUCGCCAUGCCGGUUGCAGCGGGAAAAGCGCCUGUUCAAGCUGAAGCUGCGGGCGGGAUGGACGGUGGAAUAGAUGAUGACUUGCAGGCACGGCUUGAUAACCUGAGGAAGAUGUGA